rnacentral:rRNA from 1 species
UACAGAGGGUGCAAGCGUUAAUCGGAAUUACUGGGCGUAAAGCGCGCGUAGGUGGUUCGUUAAGUUGGAUGUGAAAUCCCCGGGCUCAACCUGGGAACUGCAUUCAAAACUGUCGAGCUAGAGUAUGGUAGAGGGUGGUGGAAUUUCCUGUGUAGCGGUGAAAUGCGUAGAUAUAGGAAGGAACACCAGUGGCGAAGGCGACCACCUGGACUGAUACCGACACUGAGGUGCGAAAGCGUGGGGAGCAAACAGG